AUUGAACGCUGGCGGCAGGCCCAACACAUGCAAGUCGAACGGUAACAGGAAGCAGCUUGCUGCUUUGCUGACGAGUGGCGGACGGGUGAGUAAUGUCUGGGAAACUGCCUGAUGGAGGGGGAUAACUACUGGAAACGGUAGCUAAUACCGCAUAACGUCGCAAGACCAAAGAGGGGGACCUUCGGGCCUCUUGCCAUCGGAUGUGCCCAGAUGGGAUUAGCUAGUAGGUGGGGUAACGGCUCACCUAGGCGACGAUCCCUAGCUGGUCUGAGAGGAUGACCAGCCACACUGGAACUGAGACACGGUCCAGACUCCUACGGGAGGCAGCAGUGGUGAAUAUUGCACAAUGGGCGCAAGCCUGAUGCAGCCAUGCCGCGUGUAUGAAGAAGGCCUUCGGGUUGUAAAGUACUUUCAGCGGUGAGGAAGGGAGUAAAGUUAAUACCUUUGCUCAUUGACGUUACCCGCAGAAGAAGCACCGGCUAACUCCGUG
rnacentral:rRNA from 1 species